GACCAUAUUAUGUUGCAUCACCGGUUUCCAUACGAUCACCAAAGUUAAGCAAUUUCGAGCUAGGUUAGUACUUAGAUGGGUGAUCGCUGGGGCAUACACGGUACUGUAA